UCUCGCUUAGAAUCUAUUACGAUUCUUCAUUUUAAUCUAGUUGUUGAGAAAAUGGAAAAGGGUAUUUCCUUGUUCUAGGAUCUUUUAUCUUUGCCUUGAAUCAUUGGGUUUAGACAUUCCUUCGGCGAUAUUUAAUCAUUUCAAAAAUGGCAGCAACAUGCCCUUUUUUCUCUCUUUUUUUUCUUAUCAAGAAUCAUAUGAACGAUUAAUUCCCGCAUG
rnacentral:lncRNA from 1 species